rnacentral:rRNA from 1 species
CCUACGGGCGGCAGCAGUGGGGAAUAUUGGACAAUGGGGGGAACCCUGAUCCAGCCAUGCCGCGUGUGUGAAGAAGGCCCUCGGGUUGUAAAGCACUUUCAGUGAGGAAGAACGCCUGGUGGUUAAUACCCAUCAGGAAAGACAUCACUCACAGAAGAAGCACCGGCUAACUCCGUGCCAGCAGCCGCGGUAAUACGGAGGGUGCGAGCGUUAAUCGGAAUUACUGGGCGUAAAGCGCGCGUAGGUGGCUUGAUAAGCCGGUUGUGAAAGCCCCGGGCUCAACCUGGGAACUGCAUCCGGAACUGUCAAGCUAGAGUGCAGUAGAGGAAGGUAGAAUUCCCGGUGUAGCGGUGAAAUGCGUAGAGAUCGGGAGGAAUACCAGUGGCGAAGGCGGCCUUCUGGACGGACACUGACACUGAGGUGCGAAAGCGUGGGUAGCAAACAGGAUUAGAUACCCUAGUAGUC